CUGCAGAACUGCUGAUGGUGCCCGAAGAACCUGAGCUGUGUCUGCGGACCAGAAAGGCGAAGUGACAAGAGGAUCCAGGCAUAAGACAGGCACAGGGUAGGGAAGUUGGCACCCAGCUCCGUAAAGCUUUGAAGCUGACUCGAUUAGGUGAUUGAAUUACCUUGGGUUUCGCACUCCUUGUGUUCAUUUUGGUUCUAACGUUGGUACACACGCAGAUCCCAGCCCUGGGCCGUGACUUCUCAUUCCCUCAGGCCUUGCCUUUGUACAAUCUGCGCUUGCCCCAUGACCCACAAACAGGGCGAAACGACGGGAAUGUCAUUUAAGAGGCUAAGAAUCCUGCUCAGCUUUUUAAAAAUUUUCAGACUUAAAAAUAGUGACAAGGCAGAGUGACAGCUGCUUUUUUUUUUUUUUUUUUUUUUUUUUUUUUUGUACCGGGGAUCAAACUCACGACCCCGCGCUUCCCAGGCAGGCACUUAAUGCCACUGAGCUAAAUCCCCAGCUCAAGCUGCUUCAUCUCACUCGUUUCCUUUUUCCUUUGCUGACAAAGAAAACCUUUUAUUGUGCUUGCUUAACAAACGAUGCAUCAGGUUUGCAGUAAACGUUUUACAUAUAAAGUUGGGUAAAUUAAAAGAACAGAGAAGCUGGGCCCAUGUGGUGGCACAUUCCUCUAAUGCCAGCACUCAGGCAAGAGGGUUCUUCUAAGUUUGAGAGGAGCCUAAGCUAAAAAGUGAGUUCAAAGCCAGCCUGAACUGCAUAGCGAAACCCUCAAAAAGACAAAAAAUAAAUAAAUCAAAGGACAAAGAUUGGUUUCCCCCACUUGUAAUGGUUUGGGAGCUUGGCAAAACCAGUGAAUCCUCUGACGGGCCCAUUGCUACACCUCAUUUACUAUGGGGUUAUCACCAGCUGGCAUGGGUCUGUGCUUCAGUGGCAAUAGAAACUGAAAUUGAGCAGGUGAAUUUACAGACAAAAGCUUUAACUGAGAAGGAAGAGAAAAUGGGAACUUAGGUUUGAGAAGAGCUUACGAGGGCUGCACUUUGGAGAAUAUCAGACUGGCCCAUGAGCAAAGAAAAUGGCAAACUUGUGGAUGCCCGGGUAUUAGCUUGUAUACUGGAGAGUUUGGCUGGCCUUUGUCCCUGGUUCCUGAGCAGUGGAAGUAGGCAACACCUACUAGUUUAUGCUGAUAACAAGAUGGCAGCUGGGCAUGCUAAGAGGACUGGGCCCUGUGAUAACAGUCCAGGCUCUAGGAGGAAGAGCGCUGAGAUGGGAGGUUAACUGUGUGGUCAGUGGGUUCAUCCAUCACGCCUGUGUAAUGAGAUCCCCAAAUAAAAUUCUUGUGCCCAAA